rnacentral:rRNA from 1 species
AAUCAACGCUGGCGCGUGCCUCAGACAUGCAAGUCGAACGCGAAAGGUUCCUUCGGGGACCGAGUAGAGUGGCGCACGGGUGAGUAACACGUAGGUAAUUUGCCUUUGGGUGGGGAAUAACUCAGGGAAACUUGAGCUAAUACCGCAUAAUGCAGCGGCUCGACAUCGAGACAGUUGUUAAAGCGGGGGAUUCGCAAGAACCUCGCGCCUAAAGAGAAGCCUGCGGCAGAUAGCUAGUUGGUAAGGUAAUGGCUUACCAAGGCGACGAUCUGUAACCGGCCUGAGAGGGCGGUCGGUCACACUGACACUGACAUACGGGUCAGACUCCUACGGGAGGCAGCAGUCGGGAAUUUUGGGCAAUGGGCGAAAGCCUGACCCAGCAACGCCGCGUGAAGGAUGAAAUUUUCGGAAUGUAAACUUCGCAAGAACAGGAAAGAAUAAAGUGGGGGACAAUACCCCCCAUGAUGACGGUACUUGUUUGUAGACUCCGGCUAACUCCGUGCCAGCAG